rnacentral:rRNA from 1 species
UACGGGGGGGGCAAGCGUUGUUCGGAAUUACUGGGCGUAAAGGGCGCGUAGGCGGCCUGCUAAGUCGGACGUGAAAUCCCUCGGCUCAACCGGGGAACUGCGUCCGAUACUGGCGAGGCUUGAAUCCGGGAGAGGGAUGUGGAAUUCCAGGUGUAGCGGUGAAAUGCGUAGAGAUCCGGAGGAACCCCAGAGGCGAAGGCGGCGUCCUGGCCCAUUUCUGACGUUCAGACAUGACAGCAUGGGGAGCGAACGGG